CCUACGGGGGGCUGCAGUGGGGAAUAUUGGACAAUGGGGGGAACCCUGAUCCAGCAAUGCCGCGUGUGUGAAGAAGGCCUGCGGGUUGUAAAGCACUUUCGUUAGGGAGGAGGGUUUAUUGGUUAAGAGCUGAUAAAUUGGACGUUACCUAAAGAAGAAGCACCGGCUAACUCCGUGCCAGCAGCCGCGGUAAUACGGAGGGUGCGAGCGUUAAUCGGAAUUACUGGGCGUAAAGGGUGCGUAGGUUGUUUGAUAAGUUAGCUGUGAAAUUCCUG
rnacentral:rRNA from 1 species